rnacentral:rRNA from 1 species
CCUACGGGAGGCAGCAGUGAGGAAUAUUGGUCAAUGGGCGCUAGCCUGAACCAGCCAAGUAGCGUGAAGGAUGACUGCCCUAUGGGUUGUAAACUUCUUUUAUAUGGGAAUAAAGUGCAGUAUGUAUACUGCUUUGCAUGUACCUUAUGAAUAAGGAUCGGCUAACUCCGUGCCAGCAGCCGCGGUAAUACGGAGGAUCCGAGCGUUAUCCGGAUUUAUUGGGUUUAAAGGGAGCGUAGGCGGGUUGUUAAGUCAGUUGUGAAAGUUUGCGGCUCAACCGUAAAAUUGCAGUUGAUACUGGCAGCCUUGAGUACAGUAGAGGUAGGCGGAAUUCGUGGUGUAGCGGUGAAAUGCUUAGAUAUCACGAAGAACUCCGACUGCGAAGGCAGCCUGCUGGACUGUAACUGACGCUGAUGCUCGAAAGUGUGGGUAUCAAACAGGAUUAGAUACCCUAGUAGUC